GGGUGGCGGUGGGGCGCGCGCCUCGGAUGCCGCCGGCCAGUCCUCGCCGCCGGCAGCGCCUCUUCUGCGAGGGUCUCCGCGGCCCGGCCGUCCGCGGGGACUGCGCGGCCAGGAGACUGGCGGCUGAGAAGCGCGGACGGACUGAGGGGGGCGCCCCGGGAGGAAGCUCUGGAGCGGCCGCUCCUCUCAAUUACCGAGCCAACAUUCAGCCUCUCCCUCCUC
rnacentral:lncRNA from 1 species